rnacentral:lncRNA from 10 species
CUAGUGAUUAUACUCUGUAUCCAUUUUCCACACAAAAUCCCAAGGACCUUCAGAAUCUCCUCUCGGUGUAUUUGGACGCCACCUUUUUCCCAUGUUUACGCGAGCUGGAUUUCUGACAGACAAUGAGAGGAUAUUCCCCCAGCACCUUCAAAACAGACUUCUUCCCAACCACACAUACUCAGUGGUCUCCGGGGGUGACCCACUGUGCAUCCCGGAGCUUACAUGGGAGCAGCUUAAGCAAUUUCAUGCCACUCACUAUCACCCAAGCAAUGCUAGGGUGAAACCUGAGGAAGCCCCAGGAACAUUCAGUGAGGGGUUAGGAGGGAGGAGAACACGGUGGAUGAAAAACAAAAAGGAAAUGCACCAGCAUUCACUGGCGGGCUCUGUCACCCACAGGACAAGGAUGAAGACGUGCACACCUGCCGUGCGGGCUUUCAGCCUCACAGGUGCCCCAAGAGCCAUCUCUACCGGGCACUAUGUGGAUGCAUCGGUGACAAAAUGGAAAGCCUCUGGUCCUGGCGGAGCUUGUUCCGAUCAAGAGAGACCCGAAAGCAAGAAACACGGUGAACAAAUGCAUGAUGCCCAGGGGUGGAUGGCUGUAAGCACUGAGGAGAAAAAUAGCAAGUGGGGUGGGGGGUGUUAA